CCCGGCCCACACCCCUCAUUUCCUUCUUAUCCACAGGCCACAGCAAACAACCACCAACAUAACGCAAAACAACAACAUUCAACGGCAAAACUCAACCUCUAAACAUAUGCGUAACAGCAACAACAACAAUCCAGCAAUAUCACGCGUAAUGGCGACAACAACUAUCCAGCAAUAUCACGGGUGAAAAAGCAACAACAGCGACCCGCCGAUAUCUAUUUCUGCAAAUCCAACCCGGAUUCACGCGUACAAUUGACAACACAGCAAAACCAUCAAAAGCAAAACUAACCGUUCCCCUCCAUUUACCCUUUUACCCCUCCUCGUACAGCCAAAGAUGGCUAAAAGCUUCAUCUACUUUUGCUGUCAGAUGGUGUUCAUCCAUUUUCGAUUAAACACCAAUGGAUACAAGAAAUUCGGAUUUGAAAUUCAAUAUUUGGAAUUCGAAAACCCUAAUUCUUUCCCUCCAAUUUCACUUAAAAAUAGAUAGUGAGGGCUAGAAGAAGAGGGGUCUUUUCUUGGGGAAAAAUUGAGGGUUCUGAAGGUGGGCACCUCUAACCCUACGUAACCAAGAAAUCCUCGGAGCACUAUCAAAACCCCAUCCAAAUCCUUGGAAUUUCAAUAGCAAAUCAAAACUGUGGUGGGAGUUGGUCCAACGAAAUUUCAAAGUCCUAGUUCCUGCACUCUAAAAGACUCUCCUCCCUCGCAUUCUGUUGGGAUAAACCCAACUUGCAUCGAGUCAAGAUCCACACCUAAGUCCAAAAUGGACUAAUGCAUGAAGAAAUUGGAACAAUGCGGUGCUGGUAUACACAAUAUAUACGUGAAUAUACAGCUGCAGAAAAAGAGAAAUGAAAAAGAAAGCUAUACAGGGGGAGGACUGAAUUUGUGUGUGUGAGACUAAAAUUCGGUCAUAUAUACACUGUAUAUACACCAAAAUGCAGGAAAAAUAGCUGUAAUAUACAUCUGAUAUACAUGUGAAAAUGAAUUGAAAAUCCAUGGAAUUCUGGCCCAAAGGCUGGGCAGCCCAUUAAUGGGCCGAAAGGGCCCAAUCUUUAGCUCUUCUUUUAUUUCCUAUUCUUAUUUAUUUGUAUAUUUACUUGAACACUCUAACUAAUAAAUCUAGAUAAAUCCCUUAAGGCGUUAUAAUUUUACUUUA